AGUGGAUGCAAGGUGGCACGAGUGCUGUAGUGGUAACCAACUGUGCUCUGAUCAGAUUUAAGGCCCGCUCCACAGGAGGAAGCACAUGCCCGAUGCUGUAAACCUAGCCGAGAACCCAUGGUUAGGAGCGCACAGACCCGAGGGCUGAACUACCCCCAUUAUUCUGCUAAAUGGACACAGUUAUCAAACUGCCCUCUAAGUCCUUAUCUCUCAGACCCGAUUAGAUGAGAUUCCUUCUGCAGCGGCAGGCGGCUAGUGCAGAAACUCACAACUGAUCAAAUGCAGACAGUGUCAGAGGAGGGUUCAACCACAAAUGAGGCGUCUCUGUCUCCUUCCCUCCCUGCCCUCAAGAUUCAGGCUCAUCCAAAGAGCUUGAGUCAGAGGCUGAACAGGACUGAAGCAAAGCAGCGUCUUCUGGACAUGAAAAGGUCACUACAUCCAUGAACUCAGCAGCUGUGGGUGCCCACCAGAUGAAUGCCUGCAACGUUCCAGCAGGAGGGGGGGGGGCUCAGGAGUCCUCGCCCCUAACAAGAGCCACGGACAGUUACUGGCUUCUGGGGGAGGGAGACUCAGUUUUCUUUAAGGCUGUGAUCAUCUGCUGUGUGGAUGGCACCGUACCCAGCAGGACAAUAUAGACAUCAGAAACUGGU
rnacentral:lncRNA from 1 species